CACACCGCCCGUCACAUCACGAAAGCCAGUUGUACUAGAAGCCGGUAAUUCAACCGCAGGGAGAUAGCCGUCCAAGGUAUGACUGGUGAUUGGGGUG
rnacentral:rRNA from 1 species